rnacentral:lncRNA from 1 species
GAUAAGAUGCAGACCGCCAAGAACGGUGGACUUCGGAAACUAUGAUGUAUGUGUCGGUGCGAAAGCACGACGUUAACCAAAAUAAUUUUUAAGAAAAGACACAAAAUCCCACUUUCUGUUCAGAUGGGAUGUCGCUUUCAGACAUCAUGAAUUCAUUCAUGUAUAGUAUUUAUAUAUACAAUGUGCUCUCGACUCCUCUAAACAAUCGCCAGCAACAAUAAUCCAUGCUUGUUUUUGUUCUCUCACCUCCAAGUGUCUCUCCUCUCUUGAUUGUAGCUAGAGAGAGAAUAUUAAAAUCUUGAUUAGCCGUCUUGAAUUUUCUACUUCUGCGGUCAAAGUUGCUGGGGAAGCAGUAGCUCAAAAGGGGUGAAGCUGAGAGGGAGAGAAGGAAAAAAAAAAUCGAGUGUGGAAUUAUUUGCUGGCAUUUCUAGAGAGAGAGAGAGAGAGUGAAGCAGGAGAAAAAUUGGAUCUUGAUAGCCGCCAAGAUUUCAGCUUCAAUUAUUUCGAGUUACAUUUGACAAUCUUGGAUUAUUUGGAUCAGAGAUUUCUUGAAUUUGCUUUUUCUUAAAAAGGUACUUUUUGUUCUUCAAAGCCAAGUGCGCUCUUUCUCUCCUUUUUUCCUCUCUCUCUCUCUC